rnacentral:rRNA from 1 species
UACGUAGGGGGCAAGCGUUGUCCGGAAUCAUUGGGCGUAAAGCGCGUGUAGGCGGUCAGAAAAGUCCGCUGUGAAAACUCGAGGCUCAACUUCGAGCUGUCGGUGGAAACUUUCUGGCUAGAGUCCGGAAGAGGAGAAUGGAAUUCCUGGUGUAGCGGUGAAAUGCGCAGAUAUCAGGAAGAACACCCGUGGCGAAGGCGGUUCUCUGGGACGGUACUGACGCUGAGACGCGAAAGCGUGGGGAGCGAACAGG